rnacentral:lncRNA from 1 species
AGUUUGACUCCAGAAUCCAUGCUCUUGUCUAGCCUCCUUGCCUCAUUGCAUCCUGGUGCUCUUUCCAAAGUGUAAGUUCUCGCUUCCGCUGUCCAGGCCUGCCUUUUUUCUCCCUAAUCACUCAUAUGUCCAUUAUCCCAUCUCCCCCACUGCAGAGUAUAACAAAGCCAUCCGGAACUACACCCGCUUCGAUGACUGGUACCUGUGGGUUCAGAUGUACAAGGGGACUGUGUCCAUGCCAGUCUUCCAGUCCUUGGAGGCCUACUGGCCUGGUCUUCAGGUAGGAAUGAUCAAAGAAUGUGAUCAUCUUUCUAUGAGUCUGGCAAAGCAAGCUCAUUCUGAUGUAUAAGUCAAAUAAUGUACUUUGUUAAUUGCUUGAGUACUUUUUUUGGAGGGACAGGUUGAGGAUGGAAGAGAGACCUAGAGUGAAUUAGAUAGAUUUAGAGUUCUGCCAAAUUGAGUGUCAGGAACUGAGCUUCCAGUUUGC